rnacentral:miRNA from 14 species
AGCAGGCCUGUCGGGGCGCCUCA